GAUGAACGCUGGCGGCGUGCCUAAUACAUGCAAGUCGAGCGAACGGACGAGAAGCUUGCUUCUCUGAUGUUAGCGGCGGACGGGUGAGUAACACGUGGAUAACCUACCUAUAAGACUGGGAUAACUUCGGGAAACCGGAGCUAAUACCGGAUAAUAUUUUGAACCGCAUGGUUCAAAAGUGAAAGACGGUCUUGCUGUCACUUAUAGAUGGAUCCGCGCUGCAUUAGCUAGUUGGUAAGGUAACGGCUUACCAAGGCAACGAUGCAUAGCCGACCUGAGAGGGUGAUAGGCAACACUGGAACUGAGACACGGUCAAGACUCCUACGGGAGGAAGCAGUAGGGAAUCGGCCGCAAUGGGCGAAAGCCUGACGGAGCAACGCCGCGUGAGUGAUGAAGGUCUUCGGAUCGUAAAACUCUGUUAUUAGGGAAGAACAUAUGUGUAAGUAACUGUGCACAGCUUGACGGUACCUAAUCAGAAAGCCACGGCUAACUACGUG
rnacentral:rRNA from 1 species